rnacentral:rRNA from 1 species
GACGAACGCUGGCGGCGUGCUUAACACAUGCAAGUCGAGCGAUGAAGCACCUUCGGGUGUGGAUUAGCGGCGAACGGGUGAGGAACACGUGAGGAAUCUGCCUUUCACUUCGGGAUAACUCCGGGAAACCGGGGCUAAUACUGGAUAUUUUCAACUGGCGGCAUCGCCGGUUGAAGAAAGUUUUUCGGUGAAAGAUGACCUCGCGGCCUAUCAGCUUGUUGGUGAGGUAAUGGCUCACCAAGGCGACGACGGGUAGCCGGCCUGAGAGGGCGACCGGCCACACUGGGACUGAGACACGGCCCAGACUCCUACGGGAGGCAGCAGUGGGGAAUAUUGGGCAAUGGAGGAAACUCUGACCCAGCGGCGCCGCGUGAGGGAUGAAGGCCUUCGGGUUGUAAACCUCUUUCAGCAGGGAAUAAGCGAAAGUGAAGGUACCUGCAGAAGAAGCACCGGCUAACUAUGUGCCAGCCGCCGCCGUAA